CCGUAAAGUAUCAUCAUAUGAUUGGUUUUAGGGCACAUUUCCAACAAGGGGUUAGAACUUUUGAGAAAUGAAAUGAUUUUGAAAAACUUUGUUUUUGCCCACUCACACUUUCUGUUUUGCGCCCCUCCAAGUUUUAGGUAGAAGUGCUUUGGUGGCUCACAGGGAUUUCGACGGUGGUUCUGAUAGAACAUCAUAAAUGUAGGAUCACCCUUGGGUGUUGUUUAAUUAGUACUUAUCCUGCGCGACUGCACUUAGGCUAUUUAUGCUCUAGUUGUGUAUUUCACACUAUAUCUCGCACUGGCACCUUAUCUUAUCUAGUACUAUAGUUGAUUUGGUUUUUGUUUAUUCGUAAUUUCUUAUAUCUCUAUUGCUUCCGCACUAUGCACAUGGCUACGUCACCCUCACGUGACGGCCAGCAUACCCUGAUUUAGGUCGGGGUGUGUCAGUUUGGUAUCAGAGCCCUAGGUUUACAGUCGAGUCUACUUUGAUAUGUUUUGUCAGAACUAUACCGCCUCGUAGAGAUCCACGUCAUUCUGUUGAGUCUACUUUCCCCGAUAUAGCUCAGUUAGGGGAAGCUAUAGCUAAUGCCAUUCAAUCUUCGCUCCGUCCACCCCAAAGGAUGAUAGGAGCAUAUUUAUGCAACUUAGUUAGCUUGUUUCUUGGCAUUUAUGUUGUUAGCUCCUAGUUAUUUUAGUAUUUUAAGCUAUUUUCGUGUGUUUGUAGGUCCAAAGGGUUAAAGUGGCAAAGAAGUACAUUUUGGAGCCUUUUGAAGCAGUUUUGGGCAUGGAAUGGAUAGCUUAUGCUUGGAGCAAAAUGGAUGGAUGAAAUUGAAGACCUAAAGAUGCUAGGAUUCCUAGUUGAAGAAGGAUUCCUAGAAGAAUGAGGAUUCCUACUAAAAGAAGGAAAGUUAAGCCAAGGUUUCCUACUUUGGUUUUGACCUUUCCUAAUCCUAAAAAUUCCCUAAGUUCCGGCAACAAGAAUGAUUCCUAAAUAUUUUAGGACACUUCAAUAUCUGAUUCUCCCAUUCAAACAAGGGAGCCGUACCAAUUCUUUGUACAAAGUCAAAGUCCUUGCCGUGUAUCCUCUUUCCCUUUCUCCCUUGCUUUGCCGCACCCCACAUUCCUUUUCCUUUUGGAUUCUGACCUUAAUUACUCUUUUUCCUUGUGCAUUUGGGCUGAAAUUAUGUUUCCCAAAAAUUAAUUAGGGUUAGGACUUUCUCAUCCCUAUAAAUAAAACAUUUUCUCCCGCAAGACCACCUAUCCACCCUUCACCAUUCAUCAUCAAUCAUUCCAUACACCAUCAGAACCCAUCUCCAUACACUCUUGCCGUAGCCUUCCAUUCACCCAUUCACCACCAUAGAUACUUUAAGCCAUUCUUCCAUACAAACCACCCCUCAAACCUGUUGGAAAUGUGCCCUAAAACCAAUCAUAUGAUGAUACUUUACGGACAUUUCACAUGUUAAACUAAUCUAGUUUAAUAUCAAGGGCAUAGAUUAUUGUUUUAAGCCGUCUCAUAUAAAUGUUAUAUGCUUAAACGCUAAGUCCAAGGAAUAUGUAAUUAGGAGAAUAUAAUUUAAACAAGUUAGAUUUAUGAGACCAUUCUCUUUCGUAUACAUAUCCUAAACGUUCCUGAUCAUAGGAUUGCUAAUUGGGCAUUGACAAUCCGUUAAGAUCAGUACAUGCUAUGUCUUCUCUUAGGGAGAGCGACUAGUCUCGAGUCAUUGGUGUGAUUGACACCAAGACAAGCAUGUAGGUGCUCAAUAGCGAAUGAGUUCACUGAACACGAUCAAUGAAGAGUUCUCAUACUCAUGUCACAUGAGAACUCAUGGUUAGGAUAAUGCAAAGUAGUCCUUUGACCUGAGGCAUCAUAGUUGUCUUGUGGUUAGGUACUUGAUCUUUGAUUAUGUCAAAGUCACCCCAUCCGCGGGUGUCCACGGCAUCGUCGGGGUUAAACCACUUAGCCAUGGAGGCAAGUGAAUACGCAACAAGGGAUCUCUAACCUUCAAACCGUUUGGGGGAGAAUACUCUAUGAUAUGAUUAAGAAUCUCUGGCCAGAGUAUGAAUGAGAUUUAGGAAGUCAUUCCAAAUCACAUUCAAGGUAAUCAUAUAAGUAAAUGAAUCACAUUGGAUAGUAGACAUGAAUAAACUAUCAAACCAAACAAUGUGGUCAAGAGUAUUGUAUUAGAGAAAGACCGUAUUGCAUUUGUAAUUCUAAACUGAAUAGGUUCUCCACCUCUUCUGAUUAGCUUGGGUAACCAUAAUAUACUGCUAGGUGUCACUCAUGGUUUGUGGAAUCCCUAAACGUGUAUAAUCACUAAAGGGAGAAUUGAAAGUAAGUUUCAAUUCACAAUCGAUUUGAAA
rnacentral:lncRNA from 1 species